UUGUGUGAUGUCUGACAUAAAGAAGUUGUCUCUUUCCGAGGACAUCACUUCAGAUAAGGAUUGUAUGGGGACAUAAAAUCAGGGUAGUGAAGUGGUAUAUGUCCAAAUUUCUCUCUUAUAUGAUUGUGCCUCCAUAUGACAUUUAAUUUAGCUUGCUUUUUCCCUUACUUGUUCCUCAACUCUAUUUUUUCCUUUUCUCUUCAAGCCAUAUAGUUAGUUCCUCCUUUAUAGUAUGUAUACAUGUAUAGUUAGUUCCUUUUCUCUUCAAGCUAUAUGCCUCCUCCUCCUCCUCCUCCUCCUCCCUAUUUGUACCAUUCUGGUCUAAUAUUAUAUAUGUUGGAGGUCAUCCAUGGAAGCAAGCUCUCUCUAGCCCUUACUGAAGCUUAUAUAUAAACUGUCUAUUUAUAAUUGGUUGAAAACAUAUGGAACCCACCACAAUCAUACAAUCGUUGGAACAACACAUGACAAGAGCUUACAAGCUCUUUGAAAAAACUCCUACUGUGGAUGCUCUAAAGAGAUGCAAGUAAAUGCUCUAAAGAGAUGCAAGUAAGAUGUUAUAAUGCCGAAAUGCCUCAGGUUGUAAGAAGCUUUUUUUUUUCUUUUCUUUUUCCUCUGAACCGCUAUGGCUGUUUUGCUUUUUUUUUUUCUAUUCUGAAUUCAGAUGACCAUGUGUUGUUUUCUGAUGUGGUAAUGCUUGAAUCAAAUGUACACAAAAUAAUCUGAUAAUGUUUGAAAUUUGAUUUUAUAAUACUUGAAAUCUGAGCUGAUAAUGUUGAGUUUUCUUGAUGCAGAAGUUGCUGAAAUGUUUAUCGACUUGAUGCUGAAAUUGCUGAAAUCUGUAUUUGUUUUUUCUGGUAUUUAAAUCUGAUGUGACGUUCUAAUUUGCUUAAAUUGCUGAAAUGUUUAUUGAAUUGAUGAAUAGGGUAAGCGUGUGAGGGAAUUUUUAUCAUUUUUAUUA